UGAUAUUCCCGUACCCGCGAAAUAACGACCGUGUUGAGGCGAGUGAUGCUAAGCACGCGAGGUGUGCUGGAUCCCUUCGGGGUGAUGGUGCGCUGAGUCUGUGAACCGAUCUUGUAGUAGACAAGCUGCGGAGGGACGCAGGAAGGUAGCCAUACCGGGCGAUGGUAGUCCCGGGCCAAGGGUGUAGGGCGAGUGGUAGGCAAAUCCGCCACUUGUGUGCCUGAGACCUGAUGGGGAGGAAUUUAUUCCAGAAGUUGGUGAUCCUAUGCUGCCUAGAAAAGCUUCGUGAGCGAGUUAUGAGCGGCCCGUACCCCAAACCGACACAGGUGGAUAGGUAGAGAAUACCAAGGCGAUCGAGAGAAUCAUGGUGAAGGAACUCGGCAAAAUGCCCCCGUAACUUCGGAAUAAGGGGGACUCAAGACGUGACGAGAUUUACUCUUCUGAGCGUUGAGAGUCGCAGAGAGCACCCGGAAGCGACUGUUUAUCAAAAACACAGGUCUGUGCCAAGUUGUAAGACGAUGUAUACAGACUGACUCCUGCCCGGUGCUGGAAGGUUAAGGGGAAUUGUUAGCGCAAGCGAAGCAGUGAACUUAAGCCCCAGUAAACGGCGGUGGUAACUAUAACCAUCCUAAGGUAGCGAAAUUCCUUGUCGGGUAAGUUCCGACCUGCACGAAUGGAGUAACGACUUCCGGACUGUCUCCACCAUGAACUCGGUGAAAUUGCAUUACGAGUAAAGAUGCUCGUUACGCGCAGCAGGACGGAAAGACCCCGGGACCUUUACUAUAGUUUGGUAUUGGUGAUCGGGACGACUUGUGUAGGAUAGGUGGGAGACUGUGAAGCAGCCACGCCAGUGGUUGUGGAGUCAUCGUUGAAAUACCACUCUGGUCGUUCUGGUUAUCUAACCUCGGCCCAUGAUCUGGGUCAGGGACAGUGCCUGAUGGGUAGUUUGACUGGGGCGGUCGCCUCCUAAAAGGUAACGGAGGCGCCCAAAGGUUCCCUCAGCCUGGUUGGCAAUCAGGUGUUGAGUGUAAGUGCACAAGGGAGCUUGACUGUGAGACAGACAUGUCGAGCAGGGACGAAAGUCGGGACUAGUGAUCUUCUGGUGGCAUGUGGACGCGCCAGAACUCAACGGAUAAAAGGUACCCCGGGGAUAACAGGCUGAUCUUGCCCGAGCGCUCACAGCGACGGCAUGGUUUGGCACCUCGAUGUCGGCUCGUCGCAUCCUGGGGCUGGAGUCGGUCCCAAGGGUUGGGCUGUUCGCCCAUUAAAGCGGCACGCGAGCUGGGUUCAGAACGUCGUGAGACAGUUCGGUCCCUAUCCGCUGCGCGCGUAGGAAUCUUGAGAAGGGCUGUCCUUAGUACGAGAGGACCGGGACGGACUAACCUCUGGUGUGCCAGUUGUUCUGCCAAGGGCACGGCUGGUUGGCUACGUUGGGAAGUGAUAACCGCUGAAAGCAUCUAAGUGGGAAGCACGCUUCAAGAUGAGGGUUCCCGCACAGUAAUGUGGUAAGGCCCCCAGUAGACCACUGGGUUGAUAGGUCGGAUGUGGAAGCAUAGCGAUGUGUGGAGCUGACCGAUACUAAUAGGCCGAGGGCUUGUCGU
rnacentral:rRNA from 1 species